CCCUCUGCAGACCACCUCCCCUCCCCCCUCGGGCCUAGAGCCCCAGCUGGCACUCAGCAGGUCCCUUUCCAAUUUGCUGCACUUUCGGGAGUUCGUUAUUCCCACGGGAAGCGAGGACCUCGUUGCCAUGGUGAUGUGAGCCUUCCAACCCCGAGACCCGCCCGGGAGGCGCAAUCCUUCCUUGCGCGGCCCCGCCUGAACUCCCGGGCUAAGGGCGGCCUCGGUGGGCCCGCCCUGCCCUGUGGGAGAAGGGUUUUAGGCUCCAGAUUCUUUGGGCUGGAGGGAAGGGGAGACAUUAAUUAAGAACCCAAGGGAAGAAGGUAGGGGAAGGAAGACGAAUGGAUAAGAAGGUUGUUGUUUUUUUACAAGCCACUCUGCCCUUUCCUCCCACCCACCGGGACUCUUCAGUCAAAGGCGGUCUCUCUGGAUCAGGAGCAUUUGGGUGGGGACGUCGGACACUCUGCUUUCCUCUCAACCUCUUCCAGGAACCCCGGGGCAUUUUUUAAAGGUUCUGGAACGUAGCUCACUGGAAUGAAGCUUUAACCUCUCCUGCCCCUCCAGCCUGGGACUGAAAAGAAGCGGGGGAGCGAGCGGGUCGGAGCGACCAGCAGAGCCCGGUAACGGUGGGUGGAAGGGAGGGCGACGCCUUCGGCGCCCUGCGCUGCGCCGCCCAACCUGGGACCCGGAUCACCGCGCAGGGAGCGGCCGGGGUCAGGUUAGUGGGACACCACUUUGUUGCCGUCACCUCUACCCACAUCGUGCUUGGGACAGCAAGGGUAUGGCAGCGCAAUGCCGUGCAUCCCAAAUAUCUGUGAGAUGAGUAAAUGAGUGAAUAAGUGAAUAAUUAAAGAAGAUCUGUGCUAAGAAAAGGCAUCCCAAGGUUGGGAUUGUGAGGGCAGCUGGAGCAGACAGUGGCUAAGGCCGCCUCUGAGCUUAACAGCUCUCCUUCCACUGGACGCAGGUCAGGGAGGACGUCCAGUUCACCAGUCAUCUGUCAAAAGAGAUCCCCUUUCUGUCCUUUCCCUCGAGCUCUCUGAGAAACAUCACACCACCUCCAUGGUGGUGGAUCUCUGCUUCUCCAAACCUCAGGGAAGACAGUUCUCUCCAGUGGCCAACUCAGCUCCCUCUAACCGCAGUUUCAGUGAGUCCGUCUGCCUGCUCUGUCAAUGCCAACGGCUCUUCUCAGGGUCAGGGUAAAACAUCGUGAAAGCCAGCCCGGGAUGAAAGUCCACAGAAGGACUUGGUGGAGAGGAGGGGAGAGGCAUUUGCAGAAACACCGUUCAAGGUGAUGGGCAUCUGCAAGAAGCAGAAAGGGGCCCCGGGGAUUCACGCGGGAAGAGUAAUUACAUGCAACACAACAGCUCUCCGGGCCAGCAUCACUGCCCAGAGCGUGGCCCUGAACGAAGGUGGAUUGCUUCAAUUAUCUGGGCAUCUUGAUGAAUGGGCCCUGCACACGCUCUGGGGAAGAUGGAAGGAAACUAGCCACAGAUUAAUCACUCGUGGCAUCACUGAAUGGACGGUGUUUAGAGCCUGUGAGCGCCAUGGGCACAACAGGUUCACAAAAGCAGAGAGGGAAACGAAAAGCAGUCAGGCCGUGAUUAGAAAAAAAAAGGGGAGG